rnacentral:rRNA from 1 species
UACGUAGGUGGCGAGCGUUAUCCGGAAUGAUUGGGCGUAAAGGGUGCGUAGGCGGCCUGCUAAGUCUGGAGUGAAAGGUACCGGCUCAACCGGUAUAGGCUCUGGAAACUGGAGGACUGGAGAGCAGGAGAGGGCGGUGGAACUCUAUGUGUAGCGGUAAAAUGCGUAGAUAUAUGGAAGAACACCAGUGGCGAAGGCGGCCGCCUGGCCUGUUGCUGACGCUGAGGCGCGAAAGCUAGGGGAGCGAACAGG